CCGUAGGUGAACCUGCGGAAGGAUCAUUGUCGAU
rnacentral:rRNA from 1 species